AUUGAACGCUGGCGGCAGGCUUAACACAUGCAAGUCGAGCGAGCGGCGGACGGGCGAGUAAUGUCUGGGAAACCGCCUGAUGGAGGGGGAUAACUACUGGAAACGGUAGCUAAUACCGCAUACCAUCAGAUGUGCCCAGAUGGGAUUAGCUAGUAGGUGGGGUAAUGGCUCACCUAGGCGACGAUCCCUAGCUGGUCUGAGAGGAUGCCCCGCAACACUGGAACGGAGAAACGGUCCAGACUCCGCCGGUAGGCGGCAGUGGGGAAUAUUGCACACUGGGCGCAAGCCGGAUGCAGCCGUGCCGCGUGUGUGAAGAGGGCCUUCGGGUUGUAAAGCACGUUCAGCGAGGAGGCGUUACUCGCAGAAGAAGCACCGGCUAACUCCGUGCCAGCAGCCGCGGUAAUAC
rnacentral:rRNA from 1 species